GCGCUCACUUUGGCAGCACAGAUAUAAAAUUAGAACAAUACAGAGAAGAUUAGCAUAGCUCCUGUGUAAGGAUGAAAAGUAAAUUCAUGAAGCAUUCCAUAUUUUU